rnacentral:rRNA from 1 species
AGAGUUUGAUUCUGGCUCAGGAUGAACGCUGGCGGCGUGCUUAACACAUGCAAGUCGAACGGAGAUUAUACGCAGAGGCGAUUUCGGUCAAAUCAUGUAAAAUCUUAGUGGCGGACGGGUGAGUAACGCGUGGGUAACCUGCCUUACACUGGGGGAUAACACUUAGAAAUAGGUGCUAAUACCGCAUAAGCGCACGAAGCCGCAUGGAUUUGUGUGAAAAACUCCGGUGGUGUAAGAUGGACCCGCGUCUGAUUAGCUUGUUGGCGGGGUAACGGCCCACCAAGGCGACGAUCAGUAGCCGGCCUGAGAGGGUGGACGGCCACAUUGGGACUGAGACACGGCCCAAACUCCUACGGGAGGCAGCAGUGGGGGAUAUUGGACAAUGGGGGGAACCCUGAUCCAGCGACGCCGCGUGAGUGAAGAAGUAUUUCGGUAUGUAAAGCUCUGUCAGCAGGGAAGAAAGAAAUGACGGUACCUGACCAAGAAGCCCCGGCUAACUACGUGCCAGCAGCCGCGGUAAUACGUAGGGGGCAAGCGUUAUCCGGAAUUACUGGGUGUAAAGGGAGCGU